rnacentral:lncRNA from 1 species
GUCAGAGUUCUAAAUGAUGAUGUCACAGCGAGAAGGCUGCAUAAGAUCUAUGAUCAGAGUCAGUUGUGCUCAUUCUCUGCUUGAGUGCUGUAAAGGUUAGAGGUAACUGUAAGUGCAGAGGUUCCCAAAUGUUGUGUGUUUGGCUGUGGUGUAUUUCGCUCCCCCAAACAGAGUUAGACUGUGAGAACAGAAUGAAAGUUGUGGAGAAGGAGAAGCAGAAGAAGAAAUGUAUAUGGGCAAAGGUAAAGGAGACGUUUAGAAAGUGGAAGCUGCCGUGGAGAAAAGUGGUUCAGAGGGACCUAGAUUAUCUUCAGAAGACUUCGAUGGAUGAAGCCGAGAUCAGCGAGACUCUCCUCAUUGGAAAACUGACCUUUAAAGGCAUGGAGAUGAUUACAACAGACAUGGACUAUGAUGAGACAGAGGUUGAAGCCAUUCUCAUGGACAUCCAGCUGGACGAGACUGAUGAAGCAGCUGUGCAGACACCUCUAGUGAGCGGAGCUGACAUGCCUGGUCAGGGAGCUCCUGGAGACGCUGCUGGAGUUGUUUCAGCUGAUGUCCAGUGACUGCUGAACACACACACACACACACACACACAUUGAGAAAUACAUACACUAAUAAACACACACACAUGCACA